rnacentral:misc_RNA from 1 species
GAUGAAGAACGCAGCAAAAUGCGAUACUUGGUGUGAAUUGCAGAAUCCCGUGAACCAUCGAGUUUUUGAACGCAAGUUGCGCCCGAAGCCUUUGGCCGAGGGCACGUCUGCCUGGGCGUCACGCAUCGCGUCGCCCCCCACAAAUUCUCCGUCAGGGGAGCUUGUGUUUCGGGGGCGGAUACUGGUCUCCCGUGCUCAUGGCGCGGUUGGCCGAAAUAGGAGUCCCUUCGAUGGACGCACGAACUAGUGGUGGUCGUAAAAACCCUUGUCUUUUGUUUCGUGCCGUUAGUCGCGAGGGAAGCUCUUCAAAAACCCCAGCGCGUCGUCUCUUGACGGCGCUUCGACCGCGACCCCAGGUCAGGCGGGACUACCCGCUGAGUUUAAGCAUAUCAAUAAGCGGAGGA